GUCGAACGAUGAAGCCUUUCGGGGUGGAUUAGUGGCGAACGGGUGAGUAACACGUGGGCAAUCUGCCCUUCACUCUGGGACAAGCCCUGGAAACGGGGUCUAAUACCGGAUAACACUCUGUCCCGCAUGGGACGGGGUUAAAAGCUCCGGCGGUGAAGGAUGAGCCCGCGGCCUAUCAGCUUGUUGGUGGGGUAAUGGCCUACCAAGGCGACGACGGGUAGCCGGCCUGAGAGGGCGACCGGCCACACUGGGACUGAGACACGGCCCAGACUCCUACGGGAGGCAGCAGUGGGGAAUAUUGCACAAUGGGCGAAAGCCUGAUGCAGCGACGCCGCGUGAGGGAUGACGGCCUUCGGGUUGUAAACCUCUUUCAGCAGGGAAGAAGCGAAAGUGACGGUACCUGCAGAAGAAGCGCCGGCUAACUACGUGCCAGCAGCCGCGGUAAUACGUAGGGCGCAAGCGUUGUCCGGAAUUAUUGGGCGUAAAGAGCUCGUAGGCGGCUUGUCACGUCGGAUGUGAAAGCCCGGGGCUUAACCCCGGGUCUGCAUUCGAUACGGGCUAGCUAGAGUGUGGUAGGGGAGAUCGGAAUUCCUGGUGUAGCGGUGAAAUGCGCAGAUAUCAGGAGGAACACCGGUGGCGAAGGCGGAUCUCUGGGCCAUUACUGACGCUGAGGAGCGAAAGCGUGGGGAGCGAACAGGAUUAGAUACCCUGGUAGUCCACGCCGUAAACGUUGGGAACUAAGGUGUUGGCGACAUUCCACGUCGUCGGUGCCGCAGCUAACGCAUUAAGUUCCCGCCUGGGGGAAUACGGCCGCAAGGCUAAAACUCAAAGGAAAUUGACGGGGGGCCCGCACAAGCAGCGGAGCAUGUGGGCUUAAUUCGACGCAACGCGAAGAACCUUACCAAGGCUUGACAUAUAACCGGAAAGC
rnacentral:rRNA from 1 species